rfam:Cricetulus griseus cell line CHO-K1, whole genome shotgun sequence.
GUUUACCACCAUACUACUCUGAAGGCACAUGAUUCUGUCGGAUCUCAGAAGCUAUUCAGGGUCAGGCCUUAUUAGUUAGUACUUGGAUGGGAGAAAGUCUGGGAAUACUUUCAAUUUUGGAGGUGCUCA